CCUACGGGGGGCAGCAGUGGGGAAUAUUGGACAAUGGGGGCAACCCUGAUCCAGCCAUGCCGCGUGUGUGAAGAAGGCCCUCGGGUUGUAAAGCACUUUCAGUGAGGAAGAACGCCUGGUAGUUAAUACCCAUCAGGAAAGACAUCACUCACAGAAGAAGCACCGGCUAACUCCGUGCCAGCAGCCGCGGUAAUACGGAGGGUGCGAGCGUUAAUCGGAAUUACUGGGCGUAAAGCGCGCGUAGGUGGCUUGAUAAGCCGGUUGUGAAAGCCCCGGGCUCAACCUGGGAACGGCAUCCGGAACUGUCAAGCUAGAGGGCAGGAGAGGAAGGUAGAAUUCCCGGUGUAGCGGUGAAAUGCGUAGAGAUCGGGAGGAAUACCAGUGGCGAAGGCGGCCUUCUGGACUGACACUGACACUGAGGUGCGAAAGCGUGGGUAGCAAACAGGAUUAGAUACCCCGGUAGUC
rnacentral:rRNA from 1 species